UUCCAUCGGUUGGCUGCUGUUGGGUACUAGUACUACUGCUGGGUUCAUGCCAUCGCUCGAACUCCGCUCCGCAGCGCAUACUCUUCUCUCACCACUCUCUCUCUCUCUCUCUCUCUCUCUCUCUCUCUCUCUCUCUCUCUCUCUCUCUCUCUCUCUCUCUCUCUCUGCAAGCAAAGCGCGGCCGCGGACGCCAUGGACAACCCUCAGGCUGCGGCGGCGGCCAACAACGUGGUCAAUCCUCCGGCGGCGGGGGCUGCGGUAAUGUGCUUCACAUUCACACUCUUUCUGUCAAGAUAUAUCGACGCUGCUGCUUUUUCCUUGCUCAACUGCAUGGCUUGUGGGGGGCGGGAUGCCAUCAUUGCCACUGAUCUUCUCGAGUAACCCCUCCGUCUCAAAACAAGUGUCUCAGAUUUAGCAAUACAACUUUAAUACUCCCUUCAUAAAAAAUUAUAAAAAUGUUUAGAUCACUGUAAAUUUAUAGUGAAGUUGAGACACUUGUUUCAAGACAUACUGACUUGUCGCGCUGAACUGCAGCAGGCCAAUCCUCCGGCGGUGGCGGCGGCACCAGCCAACAACGUGGCCAAUCCUCAGGCGGUGGCAGCUGCGGCAGUGUGGAUCAACGUGGCCAACCCCCCGGCGGCACCAGAUGUGGUAAUUUCCCACAGAUUUGCAGCUUUACCAGUAUCCCCGCCCCGAUGAAUUGACUUGAGAUGGAACCUGUGGUCGCAUGCUCAACUGACUGCUGCAGGGAGCUCUGCUGCUGAUAGUUGGGCUCGUCUUGUUGGCGAUGGUGUUGCUGCUUAGGCUGGUGCUGGCGUGACUCUGAGUAGUACGACCUCAUCGUGUGCGCGGCUAAGGAGUACCACUACUACUUAUUACGUAUAAAACUAUAAAUUAUAACCUGCAUAUAUAUAGAGAGUUUGUUGUUCGUACCAUCUAUGAACUUCAUUGCGAACCAAGUUUCUCUGGGCCUGGAACAGCAUUCGACAUGCUUUUCCUCGUCUGAAUGAUCGACUAAAUAAAGCGGCAAGUUUGUAACCCCUGCUUCUACUUCAGGCUUGGAGAAUAACUCAGCAUGGUUUUACAGUUUGGAUUGUCGACAAGAUAAACCGACUUGUACUCAUGUGCGCAUGAAUUGUUUCUGAAGCAAAUCUACAGCUUGGUACUAUAUAUCAACUAUGACCUAUAUUGCAUUUUAUCCACGGAUGUGUAAAUGUAGCAAAUUUUGCUGAAAAGGCCUAGUGAAUAUAUAUAACAUUUCUUUGAGCGAAUCAUAAUGCCUAAUUAGCUACAAUGAGAAAUUUUGAGAGGGCCCCUCUUACCUCCGAGAGGUAAGAGGAUAAUUUAAUCCUAGCCGCUGGUUAAUU
rnacentral:lncRNA from 1 species